CCUACGGGAGGCUGCAGUGAGGAAUAUUGGUCAAUGGACGAGAGUCUGAACCAGCCAAGUAGCGUGAAGGAUGACUGCCCUAUGGGUUGUAAACUUCUUUUAUAAAGGAAUAAAACGAGGCACGUGUGCCUUUUUGCAUGUACUUUAUGAAUAAGAAUCGGCUAACUCCGUGCCAGCAGCCGCGGUAAUACGGAGGAUCCGAGCGUUAUCCGGAUUUAUUUGGUUUAAAGGGAGCGUAGAUGGGUUGUUAAGUCAGUUGUGAAAGUUUGCGGCUCAACCGUAAAAUUGCAAUUGAUACUGGCAGUCUUGAGUACAGUUGAGGUAGGCGGAAUUCGUGGUGUAGCGGUGAAAUGCUUAGAGAUCACGAAGAACCCCGAUUGCGAAGGCAGCUUACUAAACUGUGACUGACAUUGAUGCUCGAAAGUGUGGGUAUCAAACAGGAUUAGAUACCCGGGUAGUC
rnacentral:rRNA from 1 species